UACGUAGGGGGCAAGCGUUGUCCGGAUUUAUUGGGCGUAAAGAGCGUGUAGGCGGCCGUACAGGUCAGCUGUGAAAACUCGAGGCUCAACCUCGAGACGUCGGUUGAAACCGUACGGCUAGAGUCCGGAAGAGGAGAGUGGAAUUCCCGGUGUAGCGGUGAAAUGCGCAGAUAUCGGGAAGAACACCCGUGGCGAAGGCGGCUUUCUGGGACGGUACUGACGCUGAGACGCGAAAGCGUGGGGAGCGAACAGG
rnacentral:rRNA from 1 species